GACUAUGGUCAAACCACUCUGAAUACGCCCAAUCCCACUAGAUUUUGGAAGCUAAGCAGGUAUGGGCCCAGGAUGUUCUUGGAUGGGAGACCGCCAGGGCAUAAUGGGUGCUGUAGGCC
ensembl:rRNA 5S_rRNA 5S ribosomal RNA